UAAAGGUUUGGUCCUAGCCUUACUAUCAACUAUUUCUCAACCUACACAUGCAAGUAUCCGCACACCCGUGAAAACACCCCCUAACCCACAGGAGUCAGGAGCUGGUAUCAGGCACAGAGCCCAUAACACCUAGCUACGUCACACCCACAAGGGCCUCAGCAGUGAUAGACAUUGACCAUAAGCGCCAACUAGAAUCAGUUAGAGCAAAUAGGGCCGGCAAACUAAGUGCCAGCCGCCGCGGUUAAACUUACGGCCCAACUUGAUAGAUAUCGGCGUCAAGAGUGAUUAGGGUUACACCACAAUUAGAAUUAAAUCCUAACCAAGUUGUGACACACUUGCUAGAAAGAACCACAAAACCGAAAGUUUUUCUAAUCUCCUUUUCCCGACCACACGAUAACUGAGAAACAAACUAGGAUUAGAUACCCUACUAUGCUCAGACGUAAAAUAUCAACUUACACUUUACCCGCCAGAGAAUUACAAGCCAAGCUUAAAACUCAAAGGACUUGACGGUGUCCCACCCUCCUAGAGGAGCCUGUAAUAUUAAUCGACAACCCCCGAUAUACCAAACCUUUUCUAGCCCAUCAGCCUGUAUACCUCCGUCGCAAGCCAACCCCAUGAGAGUCCUAGCAGGCCCAAUAAUGGUCAGUUAAUACGUCAGGUCAAGGUGCAGCCAAUGAAAAGGCAAUUAUGGGCUACAAUUUCUACCAUAGAACAUACGAAUUCUACAUGAAACCCAUCAUGAAGGCGGAUUUAGCAGUAAGAAGAAAAUAAAGAGCUCUUCUUAACAAGGCUAUGGGACGCGUACACACCGCCCGUCGCCCUCUUCUAAUCCCCUACAACAGCUAAAUAACACUCCAUAUCCCAAUAGAAGAGGCAAGUCGUAACACGGUAAGUGUACCGGAAGGUGUACUUGGUCUAACU
rnacentral:ncRNA from 1 species